rnacentral:lncRNA from 1 species
GGGUCAGGCGGCGCGUGCCCUGUCCCCUCCCCGGGCUCCGGCCACACGAGCGGGCCGGCGCUGCGCUGCUGGCAACGUGUCGCGGGAACGCUCCUACCCCAUCUGCAUGCCUUACAUGGCUCGAAAGUAAAAAUAAAAAGAAUUACGAUGCGGGCGAGGCUUGUGGGGGUGAGAAGAGGAGAUUCCACGUCUCCCCAGUGCUGCGUCCUGAUAGGACCCCCAGGGCCUUCCGAGCCCUCUCCCAGCGACCACCUCGUGUCCCGGAGGUGCAGCAAGAGAUGUGAGAAGGUGUCACCCUGAAGAGGAAGUGGUGGACCAGCCCUGCCUGAUGUGGACAGCAGGGGACACAUGUCUGCCUGUCGGUCUAUCUGAAAUGGGGGAAAAAAUGCUGAAAGCCAAAGGAGGGCUUAAUGUGGCCUUUUCCACCUUCUAAUUCCAUAGAACCUCAGCUCUGGGACUUGCUUCCUGACCUAGGGUGCAGGGGCCAAAUUUGUUUGGGAACAACCCCAUUCACAAUUCCCCAUGAACUUUCAGAAAGGACCCUUGCGUCUUAGGUCCUGAGAAGUCACAAAUAAGCAAGCUGCAUUGUCUAAUGUCUUGUCUACACUGUUUUACAAACACAUUUAA